GGGGGGGGGGGGGGGGGGGCGGGGGGGGGGGGGGGCGGGCGGGGGGGGGGGGGCGGGGCGCGGGGGGGGGAAGAGGAAAUGGAGUAGCGGCGGACGGGUGGGUAACGCGUGAGUAACCGGCCGUUGACAUGGGGGUAGCCUCGGGAAACUGGGAUUAAUACCAAAUGACACUAACUGAUCACAUGAUCAAUUAGUCAAAGAAAUUCGGUCAAAGAUGGACUCGCGGCUGAUUAGCUAGUUGGUGAGGUAACGGCCCACCAAGGCGACGAUCAGUAGCCGGCCUGAGAGGGUGAUCGGCCACAUUGGAACUGAGACACGGUCCAAACUCCUACGGGAGGCAGCAGUGGGGAAUAUUGCACAAUGGGGGAAACCCUGAUGCAGCGACGCCGCGUGAGCGAAGAAGGCCUUCGGGUCGUAAAGCUCUUUUAUGAGGGAAGAUAAUGACGGUACCUCAAGAAAAAGCCCCGGCUAACUACGUG
rnacentral:rRNA from 1 species